rnacentral:rRNA from 1 species
AUUGAACGCUGGCGGCAGGCCUAACACAUGCAAGUCGAACGAGUGGCGGACGGGUGAGUAACGUCUGGGAAACUGCCUGAUGGAGGGGGAUAACUACUGGAAACGGUAGCUAAUACCGCAUACCAUCGGAUCUGCCCAGAUGGGAUUAGCUAGUAGGUGGGGGAACGGCCUACCUAGGCGACGAUCACUAGCUGGUCUGAUAGGAUGACCAGCCACACUGGAACUGAGACACGGUCCAGACUCCUACGGGAGGGAGCAGUGGGGAAUAUUGCGCAAUGGGCGCAAGCCUGAUUCAGCCAUGCCGCGUGUGUGAAGAAGGCCUUCGGGUUGUAAAGCACUUUCGGCGGGGAGGCGUUACCCGCAGAAGAAGCACCGGCUAACUCCGUGCCAGCAGCCGCGGUAAUUC